rnacentral:rRNA from 1 species
GAUUUCUGGCGUCUCUCCUGCAGCCGGCCACGGUUUCGUCGGUCUGUGCCGCUGGUGCACGCCAUCCAUCCGACGCGCGCCCCGCUGCUCUUCACUGAAUGGCGGGGUGUCUCGGAUCGUUUACUUUGAAAAAAUUAGAGUGUUUCAAGCAGGCUCAAUGCUAUGAAUACAUUAGCAUGGAAUAAUAAUUUAGGACUUCGGUUCUAUUUUGUUGGUUUCUAGGACUGAAGUAAUGAUUGAUAGGGAUAGUUGGGGGUGCUAGUAUUCAGCGGCCAGAGGUGAAAUUCUCGGAUUCGCUGAAGACUAACUUAUGCGAAAGCAUU